CUUAAUAAUUUCCUAAUACGUCUCAACAACGGCAUUUGGUUUUAAUUACGAAGUGACUUAUUUUUAAAUUUACAGAGUGUACGGACACGGACAUAUGACCACCAAGCUACCUGAUAGUGACAAGACAGCUUUAAACGUUACUUUGCCAUAAUACUUUAAAAGGUUUGGUACUUUAAAAGGUUUGGUGCAAACAACCCAAGUAGCACUGCUGGAUUGUUUGUUGAGGCAUUGCUUGCACUAGCCUGGAUUAAACUUGAAGUAGCAAAAGAUGCACAUGAAAUACAAUAAUAAGUCGACCGACGUAACUUAAGUAAUGCAUGGGUACGGUAUAUAUAGUUUUCAUUGUCGUUUAAUUACAAUAAGAUUUAAUUAAUUACAAUAAGAAUACAUAUAAAAUUCUUAAAUAUAAUUCCAUAUCUCUUUUCAGUCUCGAAAUAUCUACGCUGAAUGCAUGUUUAAUAUGUACAUAGCACGACUUUUUAUAACACAUUGCAUGACGAGUUUCCAAAUGAUCGGUAAUAUUUGGAGAGAAAUACUUUGUUCGUCGCGUAACGUAUGGCAAAAUUCUCAACUCAUUUCUUUUCCAGGCGAUCUUUCUCGAAUCUUUUCCAGACAUAAAAAGAUACUUUACUUCUAUAAAUACUCAUGUAUUGUGACGUACAAAGUUGAGUAUCAUCAAAACAAGUGAAACUCCAAACAUCGAAAACAUUUUUAUUUAUCUACGUUUCGACUAUAUUUCAGUCAUCAUCAGGAUAAACUAGCUAGGUUAUACAUCAAAAGCAGUAUUUAUAUAUGAAGAAAUAUGAUACAUAGCCCGCGUGCAGGCCCAAGGGAAGAAUAGUGGACCUGCAAACAAGACCCGGUAUUUUGCAAAACGCCCCUUUUCAUAACACGCCCCAUUCGCGCGUCAAUUGUCAAAAAAGAACCAAUGACAGCAGCCCAAAUAUCAACAAACAAACUCGCAUUAAUCUGUUGCGGGGUGUUCUCUGCAAGAACAGAAACAAUGUGUAAAUGGCUGCAUUUUAACUCCAAAACAGCAAGUAACGCAGUCAGUAAUCACCAAAUUUGCAAGUGCUCAUUUUCAACUAAAAUCGGAACAGGCAAAUUAGGACGAAUUUCAACAGAAAACCAGUCUCAAACUUCAAAUCGUGAGGGAAGUCGUGCGAGCACAUUAGCAUUAAUGUGUGCUUCGCUGUCGCCGUUGUUAUAAAUAAAUUGUCUCACUUAUCAGAUCGUGUGUGCAAUUCUUGUUGGCGGCGUAAAGUACGAAAUUUCUUUCAGUUAUUUCAUUUGGUAAAGAAUUCUACAAAAGAAGAGAGCGUUCAGAGUCCAGAUCGUUUCAUUUCAAACGGCAAUUACCGUCUUCUGUUUCGCUCUCUCAGCGAAGCCUUGCAAAUCGCAAAGUGUUUCGACAUGCAACUGCCUCUAAAUCUCCACCGCUGUUUUCUUCAGUGCAAGGACAGAGUCAACAUCAACCAAAAGAUAAUUUUCUUGAGGAACAUAUAACGUAUCAAGUCUGUUUGAAAUUAUUGAAACUCGAUCAAGUAUUAAAGGUUACUAUAGUUUACCCUGGCGGCAGUCGUAAUGUUGCUAUUCCAGCACUUCACGACAAGCAAUACCCAUUGGCAUAACCGCAAAAACAUCUCUUCCUUCAAGUAAACAAUAAACAGUCUGUUCUUGUUCUAUUUUUUAUCGAAAAAAGUGAUCAAUUUUCGAAUUUUAAGCUUAUCGAGAGCCUUUGUGAUGAAUCAGUGAUCUAAUUAUAGAAUCCAACAGCAAACAGCCAAUCAGAAUGCCGCGUUCGUAGGCGAACGCGGAAAGUACAAAAUACCGGGCCUUGCUUGCAGGCCCACUAUUCUUCCCUUUGGCCUGCGCGCGGGCUAUAUGAUACAGUCAUUAGGUUGAUUAUUAAUGAAUUAAUUAAAUAUGAUUAGUUCUUUAGAAGCUUUAAGUCCAUGAUAAAGAAAAUUAAUUUAUUAAUAAUCAACCUAAUGACUGUAUCAUAUUUCUUUAUAUAUACUGUAAAUACUGCUUUUGAUGUAUAACCUAGCUAGUUUAUCCUGAUGAUGACUGAAAUAUAAUCGAAACGUAGAUAAAUAAAAAUGUUAUCGAUUUUUGGGGUUUCACUUGUUUUGUAUUUUGUUAAAAUACUCGGUGGUUCUAAAAAAAAUUUUACAUAUCAUC